rnacentral:misc_RNA from 1 species
ACUCUUCAACCCACCGGUUUCUUGUAAAUCGAGUCGGUGUUUGGAUUUUGAGCGUUUGCUAAUUUAACUAUUAGCUCGUUCGUAAUACAUUAGCAUCUCAAUUUUGAUAUUCGGAUUGACUCGGCGUAAUAGACUAUUCGCUGAGGACACUUUUAUUAGUGUCCGAAUAUGGAAAAGCUAGAAGCUUCUAAUCAUACUAGUCAACCUCUGAU